AUUGAACGCUGGCGGCAGGCUUAACACAUGCAAGUCGAGCGGGGUGAGGUGCUUCGGUACUGAUCCUAGCGGCGGACGGGUGAGUAAUGCUUAGGAAUCUGCCAUUUAGUGGGGGACAACAUUCCGAAAGGAAUGCUAAUACCGCAUACGUCCUACGGGAGAAAGCAGGGGAUCUUCGGACCUUUCGCUAAAUUAUGAGCCUAAGGCGGAUUAGCUAGUUGGUGGGGUAAAGGCCUACCAAGGCGACGAUCUGCAGCGGGUCUGAGAGGAUGAUCCGGCAGACUGGGAGUGAGACACGGCCCAGACUCCUACUGGAGGCAGCAGUGGGGAAUAUUGGACAAUGGGCGGAAGCCUGAUCCAGCCCUGCCGCGUGUGUGAAGAAGGCCUUAUGGUUGUAAAGCACUUUAAGCGAGGAGGAGGCUACUGAGACUAAUACUCUUGGAUAGUGGACGUUACUCGCAGAAUAAGCACCGGCUAACUCUGUGCCAGCCGCCGCCGUAACAC
rnacentral:rRNA from 1 species